UUGAUGGCCCAAAAGGAGUUCAUAGAAGACAAUGCAUUUCAUGCUGAGGAUUAUACAUUAAUGUUUUCCAGGGAUGCCCCCUUCCCAUGAGAAAAGCUUACAUUCAUGGGACUGAAGGUAUGCUCUAUCCAAUAUCGUGCAUAUAACUGUUUCUGAUGCAAGAUAAACGUAUAAUGAAUUCAAUUUUUUGUGCAUUAUCUUCUAUGAACUCCUUUUGGGCCAUCAACAGAUACAGCCAGGCUAGAACAAACAAAGCGUGGUGAGACUUCUGCCGUAGGUCUUGGCCACAUGAAACCUAAGUAGUGCCAUAACAAGCAUGGCCAAAACCAGUUUAUAUCAGUAUUCCGGGGUUUAAGCAAUUGUCUCCAGUUGACACCAAUCAAAUAUCGACAACAGGAGGAGGUAAUUUCCAGAAAUUCCAUGAAUUAAAAUCCUCCUGCUCAGAUGAUGUCAUGGCUGGGAACAUGUCAUGCACAAGAUCAUGAAGCGAAGUAUAUGAUUUUGUGUCAACACGGCGGUUCAC
rnacentral:misc_RNA from 1 species